rnacentral:rRNA from 1 species
AUUGAACGCUGGCGGCAGGCCUAACACAUGCAAGUCGGGCGAGCGGCGGACGGGUGCGUAAUGUAUGGGGAUCUGCCUGAUGGAGGGGGAUAACUACUGGAAACGGUAGCUAAUACCGCAUACCAUCAGAUGAACCCAUAUGGGAUUAGCUAGUAGGUGAGGUAACGGCUUACCUAGGCGACGAUCCCUAGCUGGUCUGAGAGGAUGAUCAGGCACACUGGGCCUGGGAUACGGCCCGUACUCCUACGGGAGGCAGCAGUGGGGGAUAUUGCACAAUGGGCGAAAGCCUGAUGCAGCGACGCCGCGUGGGGUAUGAAGGCUUGCGGGUUGUAAACCUCUUUCGCUAGCGAACGGGUAGGUGGAGAAGAAGCGCCGGCUAACUACGUGCCAGCAGCCGCGGUAAUAC